CGAAAUGCGAUAAGUAAUGUGAAUUGCAGAAUUCAGUGAAUCAUCGAAUCUUUGAACGCUCCUUGCGCUCCUUGGUAUUCCUUGGAGCAUGCCUGUUUGAGUAUCAUGAAAUCUUCAAAGUAAAUCUUUUGUUAACUCAAUUGGUUUCUACUUUGGUAUUGGAGGUCUUUGCAGCUUCACACCUGCUCCUCUUUGUUCAUUAGCUGGAUCUCAGUGUUAUGCUUGGUUCCACUCGGCGUGAUAAGUUAUCUAACGCUGAGGACACUGUAAAAGGUGGCCAAGGUAAAUGCAGAUGAACCGCUUCUAAUAGUCCAUUGACUUGGACAAUACUUUUAUGAUCUGAUCUCAAAUCAGGUAGGACUACCCACUGAACUUAAGC
rnacentral:misc_RNA from 1 species